rnacentral:lncRNA from 1 species
GAAGAAGAAGAAGAAGAAGAAGAAGAAGAAGGAGGAGGAGGUUGCGCCUGCGAUUUGGGGAGGAGUCGCGGCGAGGCACGGCGAGGCUGCGGCGGAGGCGUGCGUGGGCGUGCUGGAGAGAAACGGCGGCGCGCGACGGAGGCAGAUCUGGGCGGCCACGGCGACGGGAUCUGUGGCUGUGGCGACGGCGCCAGCGCGGCGGAGGCGGAGACACCCUGGAGGGCGGCGGAGGCGCUUUGAGAGAGAGAGAGAGAGAUGGGGAGAGGCUGCAAGUUUUUUUGGGGGGAGAGGCUGCGAUUUUUUAUUUUUUUUUGGGAGAGAUGAUUUGUUUGGUAUUUUCUUUUUGUUUUAAGGGUAUCUUAGUCAUUUCAACCUCAAAAUGGGUACAUUUUAUAUGUUUAAUUUUGGGUGGGUACAUUUUAUGUUCAUUUUUUAAAUAGGGUAAAAAACACCAUUAACCCUAUUUGUGAAUUGGUAUUAAGAAAAUUCACAAUCUUUAAUCGUUUUGUAAUUUGAACUUAUAUAUUAGUAGUAUCUUUUUAAUAGCAAUGUUAACAAAUGGGCUCUUGAAUCUUAAGUUUAUGUAUUGCUAUAAUUUCUAAUAGCAUGAAAAACAUAACAUCAUAGGGAUUUGUUUUUUUUUUUUUUCAUUUCAUUUUAUGGGAUCUAGCGCUGCACAUGAAAUUGAAAUGACAAUUGGAACUUCAUUACCAAAUACUGGAAUAGAACAAGAAAUGUCCAAGGUUUGAACCACUAUUUUAUUUUAGGGAUAACUAAAUGCAUGAAUUUUCAUCCAAUUUUGAUUUUACACCUGAAUUACAAAAUCUACUUAUAAAUGAAAAAAAAAUAAUUAUUUUGAUUUUCACACUACUAUCGAUUUGUGAAGAGAUAAGUUGAUGUCAUUAUAGAUAGUUUGAAGUGACAUAAAUAUUCAGUUAUAUUGUUUACUACAUCGAUCAUUUAAGCUUUGUAGACAUUUUAAACGUUUGCAUCAAUAUUUAAUUUGAGGGCAUAUCAAUUUACAAUCUCAUAAAAAUAAAAAUUUAUAUAUUUGAAGAUAAUUUUUUAAUUCAUGUAUAAAAUUAAAAUUAGUAAUAAUUCAUGUUUUCAAAUUCAAGCAUAAUUAUUUUUUGAUUUUCGUCAAUCGGAUGAAGGAUGUAUGUAUAAGUUUUAGUCGAAUUUAAUAUAUUUGUUGUCCUUGACAAAAUUGGAAUUAACAAAUUCAGGUGUCGGUUUUUUUUUUCAAUUAUAAGAAGUAUUUAUCAUAUUAUCAAAAAAGUAACUUGCACGCAGACGAGAUAUAUAGAGAUAUAUACACUAUAUAAAAGUGAGAAAAUAAUCGUACGCAAAUAAAAUCACUAUCUACAUAAAAAUAAAAAACUACCCUCAUACGAAUGAAAUUGAAUCCAGAACCUCUUAUAAAGGUGAAUCUUUAGAUGGCUCGUAUUUUGCCACUUAAACUAGGCCUUAUUGGCAAGAUCGAUUUUAUUAAAUAACUAAAUAUUUUUAAUUAUUUUUUCAGCCUAGCCUUGAUAAAUAUCUUACAUUCGUGACUCAAUCAGUCAAUUGUCAGAUUUUCUUUGGCUUUUUUUUUUUUUCCGAUUUCAAUGAUAGGGAUAAUUAAAUACCAGUCAAAUUGCAAUAUUCUUCUUCAGUGGAAAUCCACCGAAUUUGGUCCCACAUUUAAAUACAAAAGUAUUUUCGAUUCUAUAAUAUAUUAAAGAAGUUAUUUUUUUAAUUUAAAAUUUAAUUUCAAAUCAAUUUAAAAAUUGAAUUGAUAACUUUAUAGUUAUAAUAAAAUCAAAAAUUUUAUUUGUAAAUUUACUGCUCCAUCCGUUAACGAUACGUUGGCGUGGAUGGAGGGCACAUAUUUUAAAAAAUAAUAAAAAGUGUGUAUAAAAUGGAGAUAGAGUCUCACCAACAUUGAAUUGUUAGAUAAUUAAAUAAUGGUUGUGAGAUGAAGUUUUUGUAAAUAUUGUGUGUGAAUGUGAGUAAAAGUAUAAAGGUAUAUUUCUUAAAAUGGGAAAGACCACACUUAUUGUGGACGGACGAAAAUGACAAAAAGACCACACUUAUCGAAAACGAAGGGAGUAUUAUUUUUCUUUUUAUUUUCUUUUUUAACUUUUUAUUUUUUGUUUUAUUUCUUUUCAAAAUUGUGAAAUUUCAUUAAUCAUAAAAUAUAUAAUAUGCAUAUCGAAUUAAAAUAACGAUAAGAGCUUUAAUUUGAUAUAUUUUAUGUAAAUAUUUGAUUUAAAAUGUAAAAUUAUAUUUUUUUAAUGUUAAAAUUUUUAAAAAUUAUUUCUCCUCACAAUUUUUUUUUCAAUAAAUCUAUUUUUUAAUUCUUCUUUAUUACUCCCUCCGUCCGCCAAAAGUAGACCAUUUUUACUAUAUUGGGCGUCCGCAAAGAGUAUACCACUUUCCUUUUAUGGAAAUGGUCCCCACCACCCACUUUAAUCUUUUAUCCUUACAAACACUCUUUAUUUACAAAAACCCCCACCCCAAAUUCAAUAUCAACCACACAUCUCAUAAAGUGGUGGGACCCUUUGUCNGAAAGAGGCAAAAUGGGAUAUACCCUUUUUGAAAGAUGAAACAUAAAAUGUACCCACUUUUUUUAAAACAAUAAAAUCUACCCACUUAAGACAUUUUUACCCCUAUGUGUAAUUCGCGCAUUGCUCACAUUGCUCGACACUGAAGCGUCGAGCAUUCAACUGUCGAGCAUCGAGCAUGUCGAGCAAUAGUUCAAAUUGAACUAUUGCUCGACGCUUCGACGCCUCGAGCAUCGAGUGUCGAGCAAUUAAGAACUGUCGAGCAUGUCGAGCAAUAGUUCAUAUGUCGAGCAAGACGAGCAAUAGUUCAAUUGAACUAUUGCUCGACAUUAAGUGGAGUGUCGAGCAAUGUGAACUGUCGAGCACUGAACAUUUUUGGCGUAAAUUCAAAAAUCAAACUUCAGAUCUUGGCACAAUUUCAAAAAUCAAAACUUCAGAUCGGAAAUCGUGCGACUUCAGAUCGAAAAUCGUGCAGGUGGGGGAAGUCGGUGGAGAGUGAGAAGAAGAAGAAGGAGGAGGUUGCGCCUGCGAUUUGGGGAGGAGUCGCGGCGAGGCUGCGGCGGAGGCGUGCGUGGGCGUGCUGGAGAGAAACGGCGGCGCGCGACGGAGGCAGAUCUGGGCGGCCACGGCGACGGGAUCUGUGGCUGUGGCGACGGCGCCAGCGCGGCGGAGGCGGAGACACCCUGGAGGGCGGCAGAGGCGCUUUGAGAGAGAGAGAGAGAGAUGGGGAGAGGCUGCAGGUUUUUUUGGGGGGAGAGGCUGCGAUUUUUUAUUUUUUUUGGGAGAGAUGAUUUGUUUGGUAUUUUCUUUUUGUUUAAGGGUAUCUUAGUCAUUUCAACCUCAAAAUGGGUACAUUUUAUAUGUUUAAUUUGGGUGGUACAUUUUAUGUUCAUUUUUUAAAUAGGGUAAAAAACACCAUUAACCCUAUUUGUGAAUUGGUAUUAAGAAAAUUCACAAUCUUUAAUCGUUUUGUAAUUUGAACUUAUAUAUUAGUAGUAUCUUUU